UUAUUGCCUUUAACCAGGUUAAAAAUCUUUUGUUCCAUCUGCAUCCAGGCAGAAUUGAUAAUUAUUCUGUGCAUGGUAGAGGAAUGAGGAGAAAUGAAAUGUUUGUGAAAAUGAAAGUAAUAGAUAAAUUUGCUUGAAGUGUUGUGGGAACUCUCUAGGGGGUGAAUAGAUGAUCUACCACUUUAAUUGUUCUGGUUGAGGUGAUGUGUUCUGUGUAAAGGUUCAGUGCAUUCUAACAGUAGUUGAAAAAGUGUUUACUCACGAGCUGGGUUUACCAGUGUUUCCGCCACUCCAAGUAAAACAUACUGAAGAAUCAGGUAGAAACAGGGCAUGGAGGAAACAGUGAGAACUUUUCCUGAAAGGGUCUGCUCCACUGGAGGGAAAUGUUUUCUGUGCAUUUCAAAGAAGCCAGCUAUCAUCACAGACAAUGCAGCAAAAAGAUUUCCAGCAACUGAAGGAAAAGAAUGCAAAAGAAAAAAAAGUUAAAGGAAGAGCUAGAGAUUCAUGUAAUAGGCCGUAACAUUUCUUACCCAUUGACAUUAGAUGUUUCUUCAACAUUUGUUUGCCCUCAGGAUAUCCAGACUCCAGUGAACUGUGCUGUCCGGCCAUCCAGUGCUUAGGCUCUGGCCUCAGAAAGGACUGAGUUGACUUCCUAUUCCCUGACUUCCGGCUUAUAGGACCUCAGGACUCCCAUGAUGAAAUCAGAAAGCAAGGGGUUGAACAAUGAGUGGGUGAAUUUGAAUUCCAUGGGUAUCUUCUAAGACACCCCUUAUCCUAACUAAUUUGAGACCAUUGGAAUUCAUUUCAGAAGACCCAGCUUCCGUUUAUGUUUUAUUUCUGAAUGUAGAACAGUUGGAGACCCCAACAUACUUCUUGACCUCCAUAGGUGAUGAACUCAGGAAUGUUGUAUCUUGAAUCGGAAACACCUUUGUCAUUGCAUUGCUUAUGAGCUAGAUAAAAAAUGACAUCUACAGAACUCUCCACCCCAAAUCAAC